rnacentral:rRNA from 1 species
GAUGAACGCUGGCGGCGUGCCUAAUACAUGCAAGUAGAACGCUGAGGGAGGAGCUUGCUCUUCUGGAUGAGUUGCGAACGGGUGAGUAACGCGUAGGUAACCUGCCUGGUAGCGGGGGAUAACUAUUGGAAACGAUAGCUAAUACCGCAUGACAACAGUUAUUGCAUGAUAACUGUUUAAAAGGGGCAACUGCUCCACUACCAGAUGGACCUGCGUUGUAUUAGCUAGUUGGUGAGGUAACGGCUCACCAAGGCGACGAUACAUAGCCGACCUGAGAGGGUGAUCGGCCACACUGGGACUGAGACACGGCCCAGACUCCUACGGGAGGCAGCAGUAGGGAAUCUUCGGCAAUGGACGGAAGUCUGACCGAGCAACGCCGCGUGAGUGAAGAAGGGUUUCGGAUCGUAAAGCUCGGUUGUAAGAGAAGAACGAGUGUGAGAGUGGAAAGUUCACACUGUGACGGUAUCUUACCAGAAAGGGACGGCUAACUACGUG